UACGUAGGGUGCGAGCGUUGUCCGGAAUUAUUGGGCGUAAAGAGCUCGUAGGCGGUGUGUCGCGUCGGCCGUGAAAACCUGGGGCUUAACUCUGGGCGUGCGGUCGAUACGGGCAUCACUGGAGUUCGGCAGGGGAGACUGGAAUUCCUGGUGUAGCGGUGAAAUGCGCAGAUAUCAGGAGGAACACCAGUGGCGAAGGCGGGUCUCUGGGCCGAUACUGACGCUGAGGAGCGAAAGCAUGGGUAGCGAACAGG
rnacentral:rRNA from 1 species